rnacentral:misc_RNA from 1 species
UUUCCGUAGGUGAACCAGCGGAGGGAUCAUUACAGGACUCGCAAGACUCCUUCACCCUGUGAACCUCACUACAAGCACGUUGCUUCGGCGGGUGUCUCGGAGAGGGUUCUCCCUCCCCGAGACGCUAAACCCGCCGGCAGCCUACUAUACUCUGUCUCUUUGCGUUGGCAUCUCGAGUACAAUCAAACAAGUUAAAACUUUCAACAACGGAUCUCUUGGUUCUG